rnacentral:rRNA from 1 species
GAUGAACGCUGGCGGCGUGCUUAACACAUGCAAGUCGAACGGUGAACACGGAGCUUGCUCUGUGGGAUCAGUGGCGAACGGGUGAGUAACACGUGAGCAACCUGCCCCUGACUCUGGGAUAAGCGCUGGAAACGGCGUCUAAUACUGGAUAUGUGACGUGACCGCAUGGUCUGCGUUUGGAAAGAUUUUUCGGUUGGGGAUGGGCUCGCGGCCUAUCAACUUGUUGGUGAGGUAAUGGCUCACCAAGGCGUCGACGGGUAGCCGGCCUGAGAGGGUGACCGGCCACACUGGGACUGAGACACGGCCCAGACUCCUACGGGAGGCAGCAGUGGGGAAUAUUGCACAAUGGGCGCAAGCCUGAUGCAGCAACGCCGCGUGAGGGAUGACGGCCUUCGGGUUGUAAACCUCUUUUAGCAGGGAAGAAGCGAAAGUGACGGUACCUGCAGAAAAAGCGCCGGCUAACUACGUG